GCAUCGGUGGUCUAGUGGUAGAAUACUCGCCUGCCACGCGGGUUACCCGGGUUCGAUUCCCGGUCGAUGCA
rnacentral:tRNA from 1 species